UUCAAUUGAAAGAAUGUUUUUUCAAGGUCAUUUAUUUACGAGAUUCAAAGUUAUCUAUGUUUUUUUUAAUGGAACUAUAUAUUUAUCUUUACGAUAUUCUCAUAGAAUAUGAAAAAACGAUUAAAAACAAUCUGCAUGACCAUAUUAUUCUGAUCAUUUAUUUUCGAGAUAUUCACAUCUAAAAAUUACUCUGUUUACUUUGAAUAUCUUCGUGAUUUUAUAAUAAUAUGAAUAAAUGUUUGCUACACAGAACUUGAAUGACAUAGAAAGGGGAGGGGGGUAAUGCCUAUUUCUUUAACCAGGGGUGGUGGUUACUUUUAUCGAGUAUAAAUUGUGAAAUGUUUGUCAGUAACAACAGUACAAACUCGGAGGACGGUAAAUGAAGGAACAAAUGCAAAUCAACGUUAAAAGUAAAAAAUCUUCUCGUGUACAAGAGACAACAUUUCAAAAUUUUCUCGAUAAAGGUCACUUGAAGGUUAACAUAUUGCACUUCAUUGGAUUCGUUUUCUUUUUAUAAGCUAUAAGACUGCGGUAGUGAAAAUAUGCAAUCCCAUUGUGAAAAAAAUACGAUGACCUUGAAAUCUCGAAAAAAAAAUGACUUUGAGAAAAAAAUUCGGCCCAUCACCGUAUCAACGCCUUCGAACAGAAUAUUUUUUUCCUUUGACAUUUUUUUUCUAUUGUACGAAAUAAACGAUAUAUUUAAGGUGGUCUAGUUAGACAGCAAAAGAAAAAGAGGAAGUAUUUUUAGUAAGAGAACUGUGCAUUUAAAUAGAACUGAUUAAAAUGAAACGUGGAAAUUUUAGUAAACAAAAUGUGUAACAUUAAAGAGGACAACAAAUAUUCACGAAAAAUAGAAAGCACUGUUUAUUAAUACAAAUCGAGGAUGAUUAUUUUGAACAAUUCUUAUGAAAAUAAACUGUUAUUAAUCAUUGAAACACAAAA
rnacentral:lncRNA from 1 species